UCUCUUAAAACGGGAGAAGCCCCGGCACCGCUUCAGGGUGCGUCUCCAAAUUUGCAUUUUGGUGUGCUCUCACCGCUUGGGCUUGAUAGUAAGAGGACUUUCACC
rnacentral:tRNA from 1 species